AUCUAUGCCAAAAUUGGUAUCCCAGCAUUACUCCAUCUCACCCCCUCAAUUUAUCUACUCCUUCUCCAUGGCCCUUUCUUUCUCCUAUUUAUGCCACAGCAUCAUCUCUCACUACUAACGAGCCAAGUUCUCUAAAAAUAUAAACCCAUUGUUCACAUUAGCUGAAACAAAAUCCUUGCCUCUCUUGCUCCCUUCCUCAGAUCUGAAGAAUGUGGCUAUUAAAUGGUAUAAACCCCAAGCAAGGCUUCUUAGGUGCUGAUAUAGGCACAAACGAUCAUAUGCUGGAAUGGGUGGACUAGGAAAGAAGGAGUAUCUAAUUCCAAUGCUCUACACGAUGAUCUCGUGCGACUCGGAGCGCCUCUUGUUGACCGUAUCUCGCUCACACUGCCACGGCGAAACAUGCGCUAAUAUGAGCAUGCAAUGACUAAAAUAAAAAAAGAGAACAAUCUUAUGAUACUCAGUAGGUGCAGGUAUUACAUGCUACAACUGGCGAAAGAGCUGGCCGCUGCAACGAACAGGCAACGAACUCCGGCGGAACGUACCAAUGUCCUCAACUACUCACUUGUCAGAAUGAAUGCCUAUGUGGUGUGUGUGUCUUAUGUCUACGAGUUAAGUUAAUAAUAUUAGUAGCGUUAGUGUUCGAUAUGCAAUACAUGCAUAUUGGUGGCAUCGUAUAAGAAUAGUUAAGUUUUCUGUGUUAUGCUGUACGUGCAACUGUCGUAGCCAACAGUCAACUCACUCCGGCGGAACGUAACAAUUUUCUCAACAACGAGGAUUACCUGUUUGAAUGAAUGCUUAUGUGGCAAAAGACAAUGGGGUAGCAGUGGAGCAUGCAGAUGUUUAUGUGAAAGUAUACAGUAUCAAAGAUGGGGCUCCUGUUAAUCCCAAAGUGGGGGAGAAGAUUAUGAAUCAAAUUUUAAAAUCAAGAGGGCAGAUCACUAUGAGGAGAGCGUGGUGAAGGAAUCCUUUAGUCGAAAAAUGAUGCGUUUGCUUAAGUGAUGGGUGCAGAACGUUAUGGACGUGUACGUGGGGUGGGUUUUGGACCAACCCCAUCAGGAAGAAGUGGGUCCAACCUUUCAUGAUAUACCUUAACUCUACUGUCGUCAAGCGAAACGACCCAUCGGAUUACUGAAUUGGAAACUUCGCUUGCAUCUAUGAUGGACCAACUUUCCCAUUCAGAGGAGAGGCAUCAAGAGAAUCUUGCCCAAGCACUAGCCCAAUCAAAUGCGCGGCAUGAGGAGUAACUUGCCGAAGCACUAGCCCAAUUAGAUGCAAAGCAUUAGGAGCAACUCACCGAAGCACUAGCCCAAUCAAAUGCAAAGCAUCAAGAGCAACUCACUGAAGCACUAACCCAAUCAAAUCCAAAGCAUCAAGAGCAAAUGACAGAAAUGAUGUUGCACAUAAAAGAAAUGUUCGCCCAAUUUAGCUCACUUAUGCAUUCUUCACUGUCUUCUCAGACAGGUACAUUGAUGCUUUAACAACAUAGAAGAGUUUAAGAGGAUUAAAUAGUGAAGCCAUGCAUUGUUCUCAAGG